GAGAUAUUAGUAAAACUUACAUGACCUCGUCAAGGUCAAAUUAUGGGUGAAACCCCCAUAUAUCUCU
rnacentral:tRNA from 1 species